AUACGGAGGAUGCGAGCGUUAUCCGGAUUUAUUGGGUUUAAAGGGAGCGUAGGCGGGAGCUUAAGUCAGCGGUUAAAUGGUGCGGCUCAACCGUGCCCUGCCGUUGAAACUGGGUUUCUUGAGAGUGCAAGAGGCGGAUGGAAUUCAUGGUGUAGCGGGGAAAUGCUUAGAUAUCAUGAAGAACUCCGAUUGCGAAGGCAGUCCGCUGGGGCACGUCUGACGCUGAUGCUCGAAGGUGCGGGAAUCAAACAGGAUUAGAUACCCUGGUAGUCCGCACGGUAAACGAUGAUUACCCGCUGUCGGCGGCAGACAGUCGGCGGCCAAGCGAAAGCGAUAAGUAAUCCACCUGGGGAGUACGCCGGCAACGGUGAAACUCAAAGGAAUUGACGGGG
rnacentral:rRNA from 1 species